GACGAACGCUGGCGGCGUGCUUAACACAUGCAAGUCGAACGGAAAGGCCCUGCUUUUGUGGGGUGCUCGAGUGGCGAACGGGUGAGUAACACGUGAGUAACUUGCCCUUGACUUUGGGAUAACUUCAGGAAACUGGGGCUAAUACCGGAUAGGAGCUCCUGCUGCAUGGUGGGGGUUGGAAAGUUUCGGCGGUUGGGGAUGGACUCGCGGCUUAUCAGCUUGUUGGUGGGGUAGUGGCUUACCAAGGCUUUGACGGGUAGCCGGCCUGAGAGGGUGACCGGCCACAUUGGGACUGAGAUACGGCCCAGACUCCUACGGGAGGCAGCAGUGGGGAAUAUUGCGCAAUGGGCGGAAGCCUGAUGCAGCAACGCCGCGUGCGGGAUGACGGCCUUCGGGUUGUAAACCGCUUUCGCCUGUGACGAAGCGUGAGUGACGGUAAUGGGUAAAGAAGCACCGGCUAACUACGUG
rnacentral:rRNA from 1 species